CAGGGAGAGUUAAGUCUUGUGGGCUGCAUAACUAAAUUCCCAGAGUGAUUUCCAUAGGUAUGAUACAAUUUCUUUUCAUAUGCACAUAUUUGCUACAUUAACUUUUUAAUUUAUUUGGGGGUUUUUUAAAGUCCAGAUUUCUUCUUUGGUUGACGUUAGAUUGCUUAAAUCAGCAACAAAUGAGAUUGCCAGAUUAAAUUUGUUCAGAUUUACAUCUUAACAAGCAGUUAAUUAUUCUCUGGCUAAUUCAGCUUCACAACUUGAUCUUUAACUGAUACAUUGUCUUCUCUCCACUAAUCACGACCUAUUCCUCUUCAUUCACCACAGAUUUCCCUUCCUAUUUCCUGACAUGUUUGGGAUCGCUGGUGUCAGCAGGGGGAAUAACAAGUCAAAUGAGCGGCAGAAACACCAACAGACUUACACUGUGUUGCUGUAUGAACCCGACUACAAACAACAACUUAAAUAUUAAAAAGGAACAAAUGCAGCCUAGUGUUUUAUCCAAGGUGUAUAUUGCUGGGCUCUGCCACAAAGUGUCAAAUCUUGUAGCAUUUCCAGUUGCGGGAUUAGUAUUCGUAGACCUGUAAAGAUUUCUAACUUACGUUGUUUCAAAGGUUGCAGCCAACUUAAAUCAAAGUCUUGCUGUCUUUUAUUUAUCCUAGUGCCAUUCUGCGGAAUGGAGAGUUUCUGUUCAUGACUGACGUCUUAGGCGCAAAUUAGCCCUAACGUUAAAUCUCGUAUUUGCAUUGAGGCGGCAGGGG